GAUGAACGCUGGCGGCGUGCCUAAUACAUGCAAGUCGAGCGAACGGACGAGAAGCUUGCUUUUCUGAUGUUAGCGGCGGACGGGUGAGUAACACGUGGAUAACCUACCUAUAAGACUGGGAUAACUUCGGGAAACCGGAGCUAAUACCGGAUAAUAUUUUGAACCGCAUGGUUCAAAAGUGAAAGACGGUCUUGCUGUCACUUAUAGAUGGAUCCGCGCUGCAUUAGCUAGUUGGUAAGGUAACGGCUUACCAAGGCAACGAUGCAUAGCCGACCUGAGAGGGUGAUCGGCCACACUGGAACUUGGACGCGGUCCAGACGCCUGCGGGAGGCAGCAGUAGGGAAUCUUCCGCAAUGGGCGAAAGCCUGACGGAGCAACGCCGCGUGAGUGAUGGAGGUCUUCGGAUCGUAAAACUCUGUUAUUAGGGAAGAACAUAUGUGUAAGUAACUGUGCACAUCUUGACGGUACCUAAUCAGAAAGCCACGGCUAACUACGUG
rnacentral:rRNA from 1 species